CCUACCUUUAGUUGCCACCAUUAAGUUGGGCACUUUAAAGGAACUGCCAGUGAUAAGCUGGAGGAAGGUGGGGAUGACGUCAAGUCCUCAUGGCCCUUACGUGUUGGGCUACACACGUGCUACAAUGGCACUUACAGUGGGAAGCUAAGACGCGAGUCCAAGCUAAUCCCUAAAAUGUGCCUCAGUUCGGAUUGCACUCUGUAACUCGAGUGCAUGAAGCUGGAAUUACUAGUAAUCGCGGAUCAGCGCGCCGCGGUGAAUACGUUCCCGGGUCUUGUACACACCGCCCGU
rnacentral:rRNA from 1 species